rnacentral:rRNA from 1 species
CAGUCGCCGCGGGAAUACGUAGGUGGCAAGCGUUGUCCGGAAUUAUUGGGCGUAAAGGGCUCGCAGGCGGUUUCUUAAGUCUGAUGUGAAAGCCCCCGGCUCAACCGGGGAGGGUCAUUGGAAACUGGGAAACUUGAGUGCAGAAGAGGAGAGUGGAAUUCCACGUGUAGCGGUGAAAUGCGUAGAGAUGUGGAGGAACACCAAUGGCGAAGGCGACUCUCUGGUCUGUAACUGACGCUGAGGAGCGAAAGCGUGGGGAGCGAACAGGAUUAGAUACCCGAGUAGUCCCUGUCUCUUAUAC